CACCGUCCAAGCCUUGCUUGGUGUUGGGACCUGCGAGGCGCCUUCAGCGGCCUUCGCAGCCCCGAAAUGCAGUGGCGGCCCCCAGCGCGGGCUUUUCCUUAGCGCAGUAGAGUUUUCACGCUACGCUUCGGGACGCCUGGGACGCCUGCCGUAAAACAGCAGACCUCUCUCCCUCGAGAGUCGCUCACCUCCUCAGG
rnacentral:misc_RNA from 1 species